GUCUCGACCAAAUCUUGUGCCAGCAGUCGCGGUAAGACAAGGGAGACGAGUGUUAUUCAUCUUUAACAGGUAUAUAGGGUACCUAGACGGUGUGCAAUGGCUUAAAUAAGUACCUGGUACACUUGAGUUUGAUAUGUGAGAGGAAUAUGUCGGAAUUGUUGGAGGAAAGAUGAAAUUUGUUAAUACCAAUAGGACUGAUAACGGCGAAGGCAAACCUCUAUGUACAUGUACUUGCUAUUUCUGUUUUUAUUAUAGCAAAAUAGCAAUGUACUAUAACUGACGUUGAGGGACGAAGGCUCAGAGAGUGAAGAGGAUUAGAUACCCCCGUAACCUGGGCAGACAAUGAUGAGUGCCAUAGGUUGGCUUUAAGGCGGAACUAUAAAUGAAAGUGGAAGCACUCCACCUCAAGAGUAAUGUG
rnacentral:rRNA from 1 species